AGAUAAGCCCCCUUUCAUAGCAAUGUAUUCUUAAUUAGCUUAAAGGUGAACACACCCUGAUUUAAGUUAAAGACCUAACCUAAUUAACAUCCUGAAACUAGGGUGUGUGACAGCUGAAUACUCACUUAUGUGACUGUCCGCACCAUUCUAGUGUUGUCUCAAGAUACUUUCUUCUCAAGCUGUUCCAUAGGUCAUGCUGGCUCCAAGCAGUUUUAUAUGGCCGCUCAGUAAACUGAAUCAAAGAACCAAGCCAACUCAAAAAUAACCUGUGAUUUUCCAUUUCACCCUUGUGGUUCACAGUGACCAUGCAAAGGUGUGAGGGAACUAUUUGAGCUGGUGUAAAGCUGAACUGUGCUCUUCAGGAGUUGCUGCGGUGGGUGUGAAGCAUUGCUUUGCCAUAGCAGUUCUCAGCCAUAGUGCUUCCAUGGUCCCUGUGCUAGAAGACAUGUGAGUAAAAGACCCCUACAGAAAGUUUAGCACCAGAAGAGUUUUUUUUAAUGAAGAUAUUGCAACUGGUUUAUGACCCUUUUAUGCCACCCAAAUGUUUUCAAGGAUCCCAGAACUAAGCUUCAGAAUCACAACCAUUGCAUGGCUUUAAUUAACUGAUGCUUGUACAAUACACUGAACAUAAACAGUGUAUCUCUAAAUGCUAAUUGUUGUUAUUGAACCCCCAUGCUUCCUGGUGCAGUAAUAACCUGUACAAAGCCUGACUUACUAGUGUACAAGAUCCAAUUGUGUAUCUUCCUCAAGGGAUAUUUAUCUUCACAGCAUGAUUGCUAAGAUAAAUGCUAAAGUUUAAAAUUCAGAAGUGCUUACUUCAGGGCAUUAUGACAAGACAACAAAAAUAUAAACUUGACAGAAGAAAAGCUUAUGCAUAUAAAUUAUGUGUCCUUUUAAUUGAAAUAUAUUUCAUAAUAGAUUUCAUAGCCAGCAGAUUAUUUUUCAAGGCAUUUGUUUGUUGUUUUUUUUUUCUUAAAUAAUAAUAAUUUGUAAAAGGCAUAUUUUUUGCUCCCUGUAGCUUUACAGAAAUAUAGACGAAAAUUCUUGAACAGCAGAGCAUUGCAAUUUUAGCCAUAAUAGUCAACAUAACAAUUAGAACAGUUUGUUACGAGGACAGGGAAUAGGACUGUCUUCAAGAAAUGCGCUACGGCGAGUGCUGUUGACUCACUGGCGGUGCACAGUGCUUCUUUUCAUCUGAAGGGGAGCAAUGCCACACAGCAGCUGUUGCAGGAAUAGCAGCCAGAGGAGACAUUGUCUUCAGCAAUGCAAUGGUGCCACAAUGAAGAAUAAGGCCUCACUGCCCCGUGAGCUGUAUGCACAAACAGUGCUCCUGGAACGAGUUACAUUGCUCUGGUUUUAUAAUACAACUAGACUCCUUGGGUUUAUAUCCUGCUAAUAGGAUUUUUCCCUCAGGAUCGUAGGAUAUCAGCAUGGCUUUGAGCCCAACUUCCCUCUUCUUAUGGCACAGAAGAAGUUCAAAGGCUUUGCCUCUUUUGUGUCAAAGAUAUGUUUUCUUCAAAAGCAUUGGAAGUGCUAACUUGUCUUGUGCUGACUGUGAGAGAGAAGAAAAAUGAAAACAUUUGUGUUUCUGUGACUCCUAAACAGAAUUAAUACAGUUUAUUAAUCAAGCUGUAUCAUGCUGAAAAUCCAGUGCCAAGACUAAGCUUCCCCAUCAGCCAAUAGUGAGCGAUAAUUGACUCCUAGACCUUAUGUCGUGCAUCACCCAAGCUCAAGCCCUCACGUAUCAAGACACCCUAGGGAGAUUUUGUAGAACCCGUGUUACAAUGUUAUUUCCUUAUAUUUUUUGUGUCACUAAGAUUAUCUCAUUAUCUAACCCUAACCAAAUAAAAUGUAUUGUAUAUAAAGGCUCAGCCCACUCUUACUUGGAUUAUGCAACCCUGCCAUCAUUGUCCAUGGGAAAUGUGCCUGUGUAUGGCCUAAAGUCCACAGCAAACUUCUUUGUAUCCUCUCAGUUGUUGAGUUUAAUGGAGUUGUUAUGAGACAACAGAGAUACUGUGGCAUUAAAUAUAAUUUCAAAGUCUUUUCAUCUUCUCUGGCUUAUUUUUGCCUGUAAGAACUACACGCUCGGUCUUUCCUAUAUGGUUUUCUCACUUUCUUUUGUGUAUGAGUGUAUGAAAAGAGAAGUUCUUUUUUUCUUUUUAAUCAAAUAUUCAAACUAAUAGCAGGUUACUACUGCAUCGUCAUACAAAUUUAGAGAAGAAAAAAUUAAGCUUCUGGUUACAGCACUACUGUGAACAGAAUCUACCUACACAAGCACUGCUGCCCCUGUAUUCCUUAGUAGAUGUGGUGUUCUACUUUAUAGCAUUAUUUGGUGAUGAUACACAACAUACAGUUGCUUUUUUUUUUUUUUUUUUUUCUUUUCCCCUCCAUUUCAAUGCUUUUUCAUUUGGAAACUGAUGUUUUGUUUGCUGGCCUGGAAGCACAGUGCUCUGUGGCAUUAUGUCUCAGUGUGUUGACAGCGCUGUCACUUUGAGUUUCCAUCACAGAUUUAAACUAAUAAGGCAGGAGUAAAGAUUUUGAGCUGUGACUAAACUUGGGCAAAUACCCUGAAGAAUUUGCUGAAAAUUCUCACAUACAUUUUCAUAUAAUUUCAUGUAGGCUGCUGCUGCUCCCUUCACAACAAAGUACUGCAAAUAAGCCUUACUAGCACUUUUAUCAUUUUAACAGAAACUCAUUCCCUGAAACACCCAGGCCUUCUGCUACCUACUGCAUUUUGCUGAUGGAACUGUUACAUUACCUGCAUUUUAUUUGCUAGAUAUACAAGCCUUGGCACACCUAAAUGUUCUUUCCAAAAGUACUUUUUUUUGCUUUCCCUUAUGCUUUGCUGAGGGAGGGGAAAUAUUUCCCAAUGAACACCUGAAACAUCCUCCUCCAGCUCUACUGAAACUGGAGCAAUGUCCUGCCAAAUUUGAUACUGACCCGCAGGCCUUUCCCCGGUGUGUGCAAAGGCAGCUCAGUUUGUUUGGCUUCUCUUAAAUGAAAAGGAAAUAUUUUCACCUUAAAGCUGGCAGAUUUUUAAAGAAGAAAAUUAAAACAAAACAAAACAAAACAAAACCCCAAAUCUUUGCAUCCAAACCCCAAAUUUUACAUCAGGAAAGUAAUAGUUGCACUAAUGUCAUCCAGAGUGGAUACUCAAGGCAGGGAAGAAUUUGCAUCUUUUCUCAUGAGGACUUCCAGGUCUUGCCAGACUGGAAUUAAUAACAAGUUUUACACUACUGGCUUCUAUUCCAUAUCAGUUGGCUUCUACUGGGGAAAAUAUAUAUAUAUAUAUAUAUAUGAUUCUUACAAAUAAGAAUAAAAAACAGAUAAAAAGACAUUUCUCAGAGAUAAGCUGUUAACAAGUAAUAGGCUAUGAAGUCUUGAGACAUGAUUCUUCAUAUACAGAGUAAUCACAAUAUUAAAAAAAAUUAAAAUAUUAAAAGUGUUUUUAAACUGUAAGUAUUUUUGUCAUUACUAUAAAAAAAAACACCUUUUUUUUUUUUUUUUUUGCAAUGGUGUAACAUGCAAUCAAACACCUGACAAAUUGAUGUUUCCAUGCGUAGUGCUGCUUAAAAGCACAAUGUGUUUCAACACUUACUUGUCUCACUUCUAUAUUUGAAAUAAAUUCUUCUCUUCUACCAUAGGCUAAAGAUGUACAAAAACCUUGAAGUCACAAUAGGUGAAAGCAUAAAUAAAAUAAUAGGAAUGAAUAAACUGAUGCAUAGGAACUUCUUUUCUUUUCCUCUAGGGCAAGUUGUUUGUUUGUCUUCAUCCAGAUAAAAAAGGAUGAUCUUGUACCUAAUGUAGACUGUCUUUUUGGACACUGCUGCAUGGUGCUGUUCCUUUGCUUCUCACCAUGUAUAUAAAUAUGAUAAGAAACAAAUUAAUUUAUUUUUAAUAUAAUUUAUGUUAUUAUAUUUUUAUUCUUCCAAGCCAGGUAGGCUGAUAUUUCAUAUUACACAGACUCUUUUUUUGCCUAAGAUGGAAUAAAUUAAAUUCUUCUAGUGAAAUGAGGAAAUAAGGUCAAACAUUCCCGAGCUCCCUUUUUCUGAGUCCCCAAUUCUCUACCAUAACUACAUUAAAUUCUACAGAGAAAGGUCAGAGAAUUUCAUCCUUAAAUUUCAGACCUUUUGAUUACUUACUUGUGUUGGUAUUUCCAUCUGCAGUGCUGUACGCUUAUCAAAGUGUAUUUCUUUGCCACAGCUGGAACAAUCAAAAUUCCUUUUGUUACUUAUAAUAAAUAAAUUCUCAACUGUAAAACUGUCCUCAGGGAAAGUUCAUUAAAAAAAAUAAAGAAAAAAAAUGCCAAGAAAUAAAUGGUUACUCUGAUUGCACUUGUUUUGAUAUAAUAUGCAAAAUUUAAUUUGGCUUUGUUAUAUUUGAGACACACAUGGACACAUUCACCAACACACAUACACACAUAGUGUGAAAGAAAAAGCUUGAAGAGAUGCUUUAUUAGCAACAGUAUUUCAAUUUUUUUAUUACUAUUUUAUUACAAAUCUUUAUGUUAUGACCCUGUUCAAUGCAUGUACUUCGCUGUUUAGAGAAAAAGAAAUCUAUUAUUAUUUACAUUAUUUGUGGUUAGAGGCUCCAGCUGCUUUCUAGGGGUUUUUGUGCUAGGGAUUGUGAAAGAUAAUAACAGGCUGGCUUUGCCAAGUAGAGUUUAGCCUGAAUAGACGAAACAUGGGUAGAAAAGCAGAAAGGCAAAAUGGCCAAGUCAGGGUUACAUAGGUCAGUAGCAGAACUCAGAACCUUCACUUGCAUCCUGUAAUUCCCAGUCUAAUCUCAUACCCAGAGAGUUGCAAAGCUUUUUGAGAUGUCACAACAUGGACUGAGCAAUGAGCACAAACUGAAAUACUGGAAUGUCUCUCUCAGAAAUGGUUAUACUCUGUUUUGAGAAAUCAUUCUUGGUUUGGAUGUGGCUCUGUGAUCAUUGGUACCUGGUUUACCAGAUAAUUAAGGAACAAAAAAAAAAAAAAAGAAAAAAAACAAAUAAGAAAGAAAAUAGGUCUGAUGUUUGCCUAUGUGUUGUGAGUCUUUCAUUAGUAAGUAUCCAUCGAAUUCUAAAUGCAAUUUCCAUUGUCAGAGAUCCCUAAAUCUCAAGAUUGUUGGGAUGUCACUGAGUGUCUCCAAAGUUUUACUGUUCUUUAUCCCACAUAUUCUUUUCUUCUAAGCAUCUGCGGUCUCAAACACAUACUGUCAGUUCUUAAGUUCUGUAACUUGGAUGCUAUUUCUGGUUCCUAGGGUGUUCGUGUAUUUGUUCUCCUCAGUAAAAUUUGUGCAGAGAACUGAAUCCAAUCCCAAAUUAAGAGGGAAGCAAACUGCAUACUUCUGUUUUCUGGAUGACUGCAGCAAAAGUGGGCUUUUAUGCUCAUUAUGACAUCUUUCUACCGCUGAUACUUUAAAAGCAUUGAGCACUGAUUGCUUUGUUUUGUUUUGUUUUGUUUUGUUUUGUUUUGUUUUGUUUUAAAUAAAGGACUCUGAGACCUAUAUUAGGAUGAAAGCACCAAAAUCAAGGCAGGGUAUGCUAAGACAGGAUAUUCUGUCUUCAGCAUUUUUUCAGUAGCUGCAGAGGUACUACCUGUUCAUACCUGUUCAUCUCACUGUCUUUGGGUACCUCCUUGGUCUUUGUGUUAAGAUCUGUGCUGAAACAACUAGCAUGUCUUCUACAGAGUACAGGAAUAAAAAUACCUAAAACCCCCACUUUUUUAAAAUAGAGGUAGAUAACUUUAAGGAGGCUGAUGUUCUCAUUUGCAGGCUUGUUUCUGUGUGCGGGUUUAGCAGUUGCUGCAAAGUUCACGUUUGUGAGGUGGUCAGAAUCUUCAACUUCACCCUCUAUAUAAAAUUUGCAGGAUGUCCAUCUCAGCAGUAUUCAAACACUGUGACAUCCAAACUCUCAGAUGCAAACUUCUAAAGUAUGAUUUGAUAUCAUGCAAAGAGUCAAAAUGCCAAAGGUACUGAGGUCUCAAAUUUCCACAGGUGACAGAAGAAUUAGCAAUUUAAACAUGAUUGGGGGUACCUACCUUUGGAAUAGAUCUCUGAGAAUUAAAAUUGUAUUCAUUAGGAAAAAGAAAGAAAGAAUUAUAUCCAAGCAUUUUAAUUUUAUUAUUUUUCCAUCACAUGUAAUAUGCAAGACUUUAAGCCCACAGUAAAAGUAUUGGCAAUCAAAUAAAAAAUUAAUAAUCAUAAAAUAAAAAGGGUAAUGAUAACAUUUAUUCUAAUAAGCACAUGGUUUAAGCAAGUGAAAUAAAAGGAAGCAAUUGCCAUUCCUCAACUCCAUUACAAGGGUAAGUAAGAGGGGAGAAUGGAGUGAUUGCAAAGAAAAAAAAAAGCCAAUUGUAUUACUAGAAAAACAUAAUGUCAGUGCUUUAGAAAACACAUUUUCUAAAGUUUUAGCAGGCUUAGCCAUCAAUAAAUUUCAAGAAAAAUAUACGCUUUAUACAUGUAUUUUUCUGCAGCUUGUCUGCAUUUCUGAUACAUUGUUUAAAUGGGUUCCGCCUGCCUUAAUAAGGCACAUCAUUUGAACAGAAACCUCACUGUGUGAUAACAGGCAACACAUAGCGAAAAAAUGCCUCAAGGUUUUUUCCUUGCUAUAUUUGGCUCUCUGGGCUAAGUCGAUUUGAGUUGGGCUGAUUAUAAUAAGCCAGAAAGUCACUACGAACUAAUUAUUUUCUGUUCAUUUAUGUGAUUAAUGGUGAAAACUUGGAUAACUUUUACAUAUCUUGAGUCCCAUAUAAUUAAUCAUCUUGAACUUUACAAAAAAAUAAAAAAUAAAACCCUCAAGGUGCCCCUGGGUUUUCUUCCAAAGCAUUGGAGUUUCACUGGCAUUAGCUCAUGCAACUGACAAAACCAGGGGAUGUUUUGCAAAGAAGUGACAUGUUUGUGCGAGUGCUCAGAGGACACUGCUGAAUUUCUUCAGCCACCAAAAGACUAGGAAAUUAAAAAGUGUGGUAGCAAGUAAGUUAUUGGGUGAACUACUGACAGCGCUGAGGGAACAAGAAAUAGGACCUGUCCACCGGAGAGACUGUGUGGCUUGGAGGAACAAGUAUGGGGAAGACAGUUGUUUUGCAUCAGUUUGUUGCCAGCCAAACCAAGCUCAUAAUAAGUCCAAAUACCGAAGCAAAUGCCAGCGUGUGAGAAAGCCAAAGCACCCUCUUCAGAUGUCAGGGUAAAGUGCUCUACUUUUCUUCUACUUCAUUCUUAUUUUACUUGUUGUAUAGGUAGCCUUGAAACUGAAAUUUGUGCUUGAAGUGUAAAAUAAGGUAAAAGUUCCACACUAUGUAUUUAUUUGGGUGACUACCUUUGUUUCCUCUAUGAAGACUGAAUUCACAACAGUAGGUGAAUAUUGCAGUUCAGGAAAGAGAAGCAGUCUCUUGAACAAUGACACAAAACACCAAAUUGCAGCUGUGUCUAGAGGCACAGAUGUGUGUGAGAGGCUGGCUUAGUAGUGGGACAUGCAAGUCCUACAUCUGGUCCUAUGUUCUGCAUCACAACAGCUGCAAGAGACAAAAUGGGAAUUUUGGUUUAAAUACAUUUUUGUUACAGAACCCUUGUGAUUUUAUUGACAGUGCUUGGAUACACCAGAUGAUUUUUUCUGACUUCCAUAGAUUUACUCUUUGCAGUAGUAGAUGGUAAAACCUCUUAAAUAGCAGCCCCUUUCGCUGCCCUCGCAGGAGGUCUGAAAUAAUUCCAUUUUUCAUUCAAGAACUAAAAAUUGACUAAUGUAGUGAUUAGAUUAGGAACCUGUCUUACUUAGUCAUUAGAAGAUUUGAAUUUCUUGUUGCCUAAGCCAGGCUUACGCACAAUCUGUAAGUAGAAGGUCCCCUGUCCAAAUCCUGGGAGAGUAACUGAAGAUGGAUGCUGUAAUUAUCACUUCAUCCCAGGUCAGGUCAAAGGCAGUGUCACCACUGUGGAAGAUCAAGGAAAGCUAUAUCUUGCUGUUGUAUAGGUAAGCAACAUUCAUCUUCUGGGAGAUACUGUGAAGGCACUCCUCACUUCCAUUAUGUUCCCUAAAGGGAAGAGUCUAUGUUCAAAAACUUCUUAAAGGUUUGUUACAAAUGCAGACUUUGCAACUACUUAGUCUUGAUGAUCUAUUUAAAAACCUGCUGUGAUUUCAGAUGUUUGAAAUGAAGAUGUCCAGAAGCAGCUGUGGCAAGCAGCUCCUGCUGAAGGACAGCACUAUAUCUGCUACCACUAAUGUCCAUUUGACAUGGGUUAUUAUGUGUUCCAUUUUUGAGAUGGUAAGGUACAUAUUGGUCCAGGCUGGACCAUAAUCUCUUGCACAAUUUCAGUAAAGAAAAGGAAAGAAAAGUUGGCGUGCUGGCUCCUUGACAAAUGGCUCCUUUUGUCAAAGUCGGUAUCUUCACGAAGGAAGGCAAGGAACAGAAAACCUGGUGAGAGAGCUAGCAGAUAAGCAUGAAUUGACAGUAAUUACUUGGAGAGGGCCUAGCAGAAAUUCUCUGUGAUCAUACUUCUUCAGGGAAUACAUUAGAGGAUCAUCACAUUGUGCUGUAAUUAUUACACCCUUCCCAGUAAUUCGCUUUGCCUCACAACUGAAUUAGCCACUAGUGAAAAGUGACAUUCUUUUGUUUAAAAAGCAUGGGGAAGGGAGAUUGCCUAAGGGCUGGAGCAGGGGAAUUUCUGGAUAAAAAAACAUAUCUUUGGCUAGAAUACUGGCUCUUCUCCACCUUUACACAGUACAAGUCGAAGAUACUGAGUAAAUGUAAACAUCUAAAUGUCAGUUACACUAGAUUCCCUUUAUAGUCCUUAUAGGUUCUCUUUAUAGUAAGAAAAAAAAGAGGAACUCAAGGAUAAGUUUCACCUCACCCUAAAACAGCUCUCUGAGACAAAGCAGACAAAUCAUGCCCUUGUUCUCUUCACUGGCUACACAGGGUGUCUCAAUGACUAAGUCAGAUGUUGAAGGCCAAAAUUUGAUAGAGUGAAUCUCACUGUUGACUUCUAUUGGCUUUAGAUAUGACCGCAAGUGUCUAGGGACAGCCAUUUAGAAAAAAAAAUUUAAAAAAAGUAAACAUGUGCUCAAGAUUGCCAGUAUUAAGAAAAAAUAUUAAGAGGCAUCCUCACCACAAAGGCACACUUCACUUCAGCUUUUUUUGGUAGACCAGUUUUUAGGCAAUAGUUUUCACAUCUUCUCAAACAUAGGCAAUCUGCCUGGGUGCACAUGUAUGACUAUAUCUCAGUCUUUUGCCGCUGUUAUAAAGACUCUCCAGCUUAUAUUCAAGCAAUCUAGUCUUGUAGGUGGUGGCAGCCUACAGAGUUCUCAUGAAGCAGAGAUUGCCCAAGACUGUCGUUGCUCUAACUGUUCCAGUGAGUUUCUUCUCUACGAUGAACUGUCAUUCCUGAUGGCCCCAGUGCAGAUGACAGAAACUAUGGUGUUCUGUGGGCUGAACUGGUUUUAGUCAUGUUGAUCCUCCAAAGAGACUGACAGGUGGAGAAGGGACGAGGACAGAAUAAAAUGUGCGGCGGAGUAAGCGAUUUCAGACAUGGCAGAGGACAGCUUGAGGUAGUAAGUUUAAGGUCAACAUAAGAAACGAGAGCAUUGGGGGCUUUGUGACUUUGUCUCUGCAACAUUCUUAGAAUCAUAGAGUCAUUUUGAAUGGAAAAGACCCUCAAGAUCACCAAGUCCAACCAUUAACCCAACACUAGCACUAAACCAUGUCCCUAAGAACCUCAUCUACAUGUCUUUUAAACACCUCCAGGGAUGCUGAUUCAACCAGUUCCCUGGGCAGCCUGUUCCAAUGCCUGACAGCCCUUUCCAUGAAGAAUGUUUUACUGUUAUCCAAUCUAAACCUCCUCUGGUACAACCUGAGGCCAUUUCCUCUUGUCCUAUCACAUGUUACUUGGGAGAAGAAACCAACACCAUGCUACAGCCUCCUUUUCAGGUAAUUGUAGACAGCAAUAAGGUCUCCCCUCAGUCUCAUUUUCUUCAAGCUAAACCCCCCAGGUCCCCCAGAUACUCCUCAUAAGGCUUAUUCUCUAGACCUGCAAGCCAGAAACCAAGUUUGAGGACAAAAUUUCAGCUUGAGUCAUCCUGAAGUCUCUUUACAGAAACCUAACCUGGAUGCUCAGGAAAAUCCUCAGCUGAGUCUUUCCUUUUAAUGUGGUCUUUAGAGUGUAUAGUGCUGUGUAUCAGGCCUGGCAGUGUCUGCCUGUUCCACCUGGAUAUUACAUGACCAGUGUAAAGUAGAUAUAGUGGCCAAAGUUCUUUCCUUGAAUUGUCUCCAGAUUGUUGUGUUAAGGAUAGAUGGGAUUUGUAAACAGUUUAUCCUCAGGCUGAAUUUACACCACUGAGAAGGCAGAACAGACAUGCCCAGGUGAACCACCUGCAGUCCAUGGAUCACCCAAGUGGGAUGUGAUGCUGGUAAGCCCAGUCCCUCUUCCUCUGCCCAGCCUUUCUCUCAUGCCAUUUUCAACCCACCAGAAAUAUUCUGUUCAUCUUGCUAGGUUUCUAACUGCAGAGAUUUUGGCUGAGGUGGAGUUAAUUUUCUUCAUAGUAGCUCAUAUAGUGCUAAGCUUUGAAUUUGUGACCAAAACUUGUUAAGGCACACGUGUUUCAGACAUAGUUGAGCAGUGCUUACACAGCACCAAGGGCUUCUGGUUCUCACUCUGUGCUGCCAGUGAGUAGGCUGGGGGUGCACAAGAAUUUGUGAGGCAACACACCUGUUUUGGCUGGUCCCAACUGACCAAAGGGAUGUCCCAUACCCUGUGACACCGUGCACAGCAAUAUGUAGCAUGGUGAAGAAGGAGGAAGAGGGUGUGUUUAGAGUUAUGGCAUUUGACUUCCCAGGUGACCGUUAAGUGUUGUGAAGUCCUGCUUUCCUGGAAAUGGCCUCCUGAUAGGAAAUGGUGAAUGAAAUCAUUAUUUUGCUUUUCUUGUUUGCACAGCUUUUUCUUCACCUAUUAAAUUGUCUUUAUCUUGACCCACAAGUUUUUUCACUUUUGCCCUUCUGAUUCACUCCGUCAUCCCAUUGGGAGUGAGUGACUGAGUGGCUUUGUGGAACUUAGAUGCCUACUAGCUUUAAGCCACAACACUAAUCUACUUUCAAUAACCCGGUUAUUAACUACUCCUUUUUGUACACUGCUUAUGAAAAAUGUUUUUACUUUGAUGUCCUGGUGGCAAGUGAUUCAGACUUGUAGAGUUAUAUUAAUCCCAGAAAUGUACCUAUUCUGGGAUUUAGACUUUGUACAAAAGCAGUUGGGUCAUCCUAUGUCUCGAUCAUCUUAUUCUGAGAUACACAUUGAAAGCUGUUGGUAGUGACACCUGGAAAUGCCACUUCUAAAUUGUUGGUGUGUGCUCUGUCAGUCAAAGUUCUUUUAGAUUCACAAGACCACAGGAUUAUUUUAUUCAACCUGUCCUUGUCCAAACAGAUUUGUGUUUGGAGAUAACAGUAUCUAGCCCAGCUACUUUACUGAUGUUCCACUUCAACUAUUCUAACAAGAUAAAGCCUGUGUAGUCACCUGGGCUUCACUUGUUAUAAACCUGAGAUGCCCAUAACACUGGAAGACUUGAGGCAGGCCUAGAGACAGCACCAAAACAGUCUGGGCACUGCAUUGGGUCCCAAAUGGAACCAAAUGGUGAUUCUAAAGACCCCGACCCUGUCAGCCUGUGCACAUGAAAUUUUUAUGGUCCCUUCCUGUUUUGAUUGUAGCAGUCCACUGGCACCAGAUGAAGGCAGCACCUAUUUUAUGCCUAUUAUUACUUAAAUUGGGAGAUUCGGAGGGGGAGCAAUGCUACACGAGGGUGCAUGCGUUACUUUGGUGAUGGUGUUUUAUGGAGUACCUCAGUGUGCUGGGUUAGCUGAAAUCCAAGUAAUUUGCUAUUCAGUUAGAAACUCUCCUUGUUAGUAGUUAGCAUUGUCUUUUGUGACCAUGGUGACCUUACUAAUGCUUACAAAUAUAUAAAGGGUAAGUGUCAGGAGGACAGAGCCAGGCUCUUCUCAGUGACAACCAGUGGUAGGACAAGGGGCAUUGGGUACAAAUUGGAACACAAGAGGUUCCACUUAAAUUUGAGAAGAAACUUCUUCUCACUGAGGGUAACAGAACACUGGAACAGGCUGUGCAGGGGACUUGUGGUGUCUCCUACUCUGGAGACAUUCAAAACCCAUCUGGACACAUUCCUGUGUAACCUCAUCUAGGUGUUCCUGCUCUGGCAGGGAUAUUGGACUAGAUGGUCUUUUGAGGUCCCUUCUAAUGCCUGACAUUCAGUGAUUCCGUAAUUUUGUUUUGAAUUUAGUUAGACAAAGCUGAAGUUUUUUUCAGUAGCUUUCCUGUGUUCACGAGCUGGUAUGAAAGGAAUACGAGAAUUCACUGGUACCUCGGCUGUUGCCAAGAGAAAACAAGGACUUUCUUCAGCCAUCCAAUUGCAGGUGCGAAUUGGUAGGAGGAGGGCACAGAUGGGACAGUACCUGAAUUGACAUCCAGGCUGAUCAAUGAAGUAUUCCAUACCUUGAAUAUCACCUUCCAUAUAUAAACAGGAAGUUGCUGGGGAUGGCCCUUCUUCUUUGAUGGCCGCUGUCCAUGGGGGUCCUGCUUGCUGCUCCUGCUCCCAUUGCCUGAGGCAUAACUUCCCUACAUCCAUUCAUGAUCUCUGUGUUUUGCAGGACUAGCUAUGCUUACAGUGUCCACCCUCUGGUGUCCUUUUCUGGGAGCCUGCAUUCUGGAAGCUAAGUUUUGCUCUCAAUAGCUUUAUACAUUAUUAUUCACUCUAUUAUUAUUCUGUUCAAUCUAUUUCAGUUUCAAUGCACUAGUCUUUCCUCCUUUUCACUUCCUUCCCCCCGAGGAAGGAAAGGUGAGAGAGAGUGGUUGUUUACUGUUUAGCAGCUAUCCAGGGAUAGAUACCAACAUUCAGACUAGAUUUACUCCCUGAUAUCUCUUUUCUGCCCAGCACACCUCCAGUAGAGAGGGUAGAGAGCUUCUUCCCCUGACCUUCUUUUCCCUACCUCAUGCCACACUUUUGCCUUCACAGCCUAUAGCUGAGUAAUUAGACUAGUAUAUUAUGAGGCAAAGAUAUGAGUUUGCUCAGAUGUGUUUGCUCUUAGAUGGAAAAGAGAACUGAGCAGACAGAAAUGCUCUAAGCACUAGCUUAUCCCAUAAAAGUGAAGUUUACUCCUACUUUUCGCCCUCUGGAGAAGUUCCACAUACACACUCCAGGGAACUUUCAGUGAUGUUAGUAAGGAAAUGGAGCCAUAACCUCCUUGCAACCAAUAUCAACACCAAACCCCCAUCUGAUAGGGAGUAUAAUCUGUUUUAUUAAGUUUUAAGUCAAUGUGUAAUGGACCCAAUCUCCAGUAAGCAUUAUUUGUUAUAGCUUCAGGGAAGUUACCAAGGCAAUGCUGAUUUAUACCAAUUGACAAUCUGUGCUGGGGGAAAUUCUGAUGUAUAUUGUGCAUAUUCUCUAUUUGUUAUUUAUUAUGGUUAUGCAUUUUAUUUGUUUUAUACAAUUUCAAAAUGCCAAUAAAAACAGAAUUUUAAAAAAGUUUGGGUACCAUCAAAUUGUUCCUUGGCAGCACUGAUUUUGCAAUACAAUUGGAUUGUACAUUAAUGUUUAAUUUCCUUUUAUUGUAUUUUUACCUGCCUUUUUAUUAUAUGUAUAUUUAUUAUUGUGAAAUACCUUGGGAUGACUUUAUCAAGAAAUGUGCCACAUAAACAAAACUGUAUCGAUCUGAUAAUAAGCAGAACAACAAUCAAAGAAGUGAGAUAUUUCCUAAUAAACUUGCAUAUGGCAAUACAGUGUUAAUGUAGUUUUUUAGCUUUGUGUUUUUACUGGCUAAAAGUUAUGGGGAUGACAAGUUACUACUCCCUAUUGGAUCUUUGAUUGACAACUUUACUUCCAUCAGCCCUCUUCUACAAACUGUGGUAGAAGGGUUUAAUUGUGUUUGUAAUUAAUUGGAUUUUAAUCAGACUGUAUAAAGAAAUUGCAGAAGGGUUUUUUUUUGUGAUUUUUUUUUGUUUGUUUUUUUCUUUUUUUUUUUAAGUGGCAAAAAGCUCUCUCUUUUAACAUAUUGCUGGGGAUGCAGAAAUAUUCAUUGCUACAACAGUUUGAAUAGUGAAUUAAAAUGCAUUCAUGAUUCAAUACAAAAUUGGUUAGAUUAGUUAGCAUUUGAAGAACAGUCUCAUAUAUUCCAGAGGAAAGGAAAAAAGAAAAGGAAAAAAAGAAAAAAAAAAACAGAAAACCCCAAACAUGAAUCUUAGUUUAUUUUAAACCAAAUGUCUAUCUCGUUGAAUUGAGCUCUCAAGAAAGGUAUCUUCCAAGCCCUUUAAAUUGCUUGUAUUGAAACUCGUAAACAUUCAUUAAUAAUGUUCUGUGGGAAAUAAUUUUCUACUCCUUUUGCAUAACGUUGCAGCAUCUAUUGAAAUAAUAUUUUGCCAUAUCAGAAAGAUAAAUCCUAAUAAGGAAGGCAAUUAAAGCCAAGCAGAGAAACAAAAACUUCCAUAAUGUUAUCUCUAAGUACCAACUGGUAAUGAAUUGAAUGCAGAAAUCUACGUGGGAGUUCACAGUCUUUUCAGUGUCUUCAGGAUCGGGAUGAGUGGGUUGGCCCUUGUUCCCAGAUUCACUACUUCUCUGCCUCUUCCAUCUCCCAAGUCUUCACUAAAUCUGGGUCUGGAGAGUUUUAUGCAUACAAAACGGCUGACCUAAGACUUUAACGCAUCUGGGUAGGGAGACAUUUGCAUGCUACAGCAAUUAUAUUUAAGCUAUUAAAAAGAACAAGGAAAAAAAAAAAAAAAGCAAGGAAGCACAGAAGCACAACCAAGGCUAACAAGUGUCUAGCAGCAGAAUCACUAGAAAAAUAUGGGUCAAGUGCCAGCACCACCAUUGAGGUGCCCCCAUCCUUUUUAUAGGCCAUGCUGUUGGGCCUACUGAGAUUUAAUGACUUGCAGUGACCGACCCAUGAAACAUUUAAAUAGUGGAGACUUGGGCCAAGGACUGUUGUUCAAGUUUUUAGAGUUAUUCUCCACAGUAAACUUGCACUGGUCAAAGGGAAUUGACAGCACAGUAAUACACAAAUGGGACUAACUGAACUGUUUAUAUGUGGACGAAUGACUGAAAUAAUCUCCCCAGGACUUCUUUCUCUUUGCACCAUAACAAUGUGAUCUUGCGCCAUCUACUAUCGUGUCUCUCCUCUUGCUUUUGUUACAUCAAGCACCUUCUUAAAAGAACAGUGUUUGUGGGGGAGAAGCAUUGAAGUAGAUCAUCACAGCCUCAUUUUUUCAUAUUUUCUGUCAAUCACUUAAGUCAUAGCAGAGAAAAAGGUACAGGAAAGGAAUAUUAACAAAAACAGAAAUAUGAGUCAUCAGACAGUGCUAUGAAAUCCGGAGUGCCUCAGACUUAGGACUCUGCUUUUGCAACAGAGAAGAAAGGAAAAUUCUCUUUUCAUACACAGUUAUCCCAUGUUUGCAGACCUAAUUAAUUAGUUGUGCCUAAAUCUAUCUAUCUAUCUAUCUAUCUAUCUAUCUAUCUAUCUAUCUAUCUAUCUAUCUAUAUUUUUAUCCCCCCCACAAGACAUUUAACCAAAUGUGAAAGUCCUUGCUGAAGUUUUAUACUGCUGCUUCCAAGCUGUUCCCUCUGUCACCUUCACUGCAAAGAAAGAAUGACUCUUCUGUGAAGCAUCCCCAGUAGUGCAUGCUUUAAGGUCACCUAGGAAAGAGUUAGCUGUACAUUAAGUUAUACCUUGCUGAUAACAAGAUGGAUUUAGAAAGUGAUGAGAAAUGGCAGGGUACACAUGUACAUUAAAGCAGAUGACAGGAAAUUGAAAACAUUACUGUAACUUAUUAAACAUUGAUUUUCCAGACAUUCCUUGAUAUUGUUUGACGAAAACAAAUGUUAACAGUAACAGCAGCAGAAACAAUCAGAAAGGAAUCUGGUAUCAUUU